rnacentral:rRNA from 1 species
AUGCUCCGGAUGAGGAUACUCGUGCUGGCCGCUGUGAGCAUCGUGUUCGCCAACCUGCAGUUCUUGAAGGCUCACGGGAGGGAGCUGUUUCUGAGCUGCGGCUCCAACGCCACCGCCGAUGCCGAUGGCCGGAGAUGGAUCGGCGACAUGGCCCCUGGCCUGAAUUUCACUCUGAGCAGCCCGGGAAUCGCUGCUCUGCUGGCCGGGAGCAGCAAUGGCAGUGAAAUCAUGGCGCCGGUGUACCGCUCCGCGCGCUUCUUUACCACCACAUCUUGGUAUGACUUCAGCCUGCUGCCGGGGAACUACUGCGUCAGGCUGCAUUUCUUCCCGUCCACAUUCAGGAAUUUCAGUGCAAACGGUUCAGUGUUUGAUGUCGUCGCCAAUGACUUCAAGCUGGUGUCCAAGUUUAACGUGUCGGAGGAGAUUGUUUGGAGAAACUCAGUGAGCAAUUCAGCUGCCACUGCGGUUGUCAAGGAGUACUUUCUUGCAGUCAAUAGUUCUCGCCUGCAGAUCGAGUUUGAUCCAAGGCCCGGUUCAUUUGCAUUUGUGAAUGCGAUCGAGGUGAUGCUCACUCCAGAUAAUUCCUUCAACGGCACGGUGAACAAAGUUGGUGGUGUGGAUGCACACAUUCCUCCUGAAUUAAGCGGCCGAGCUGUCGAGACCAUGUAUCGGCUGAACAUUGGAGGGCCUGCACUUGCAUCUUCACAUGAUCAGUAUCUUCAUAGACCAUGGUACACUGAUGAAGCAUUCAUGUUUUCUGCCAAUGUUGCUUUGAUUGUGUCCAAUACUUCAGCCAUAAAGUAUGUCUCAAGCAACGACUCCUCAAUUGCUCCCAUCGAUGUCUAUGAGACCGCAAGAAUCAUGGGCAACAACAUGGUCAUGGACAAGCGGUUCAAUGUGACAUGGCGGUUCUUGGUCCACCCCAAUUUUGAUUACUUGGUCCGCCUUCAUUUUUGUGAGCUUGUCUAUGACAAGCCCAGCCAGAGGAUCUUCAAGAUCUACAUCAACAACAAGACAGCUGCUGAGAACUAUGAUGUGUACAACAGGGCCGGAGGUAUUAACAAGGCAUAUCAUGAAGACUACUUUGAUAGUUUGCCGCAGCAGGUAGACUCACUCUGGCUUCAGCUAGGCCCAGACUCCAUGACCAGUGCUUCAGGUACCGAUGCACUUCUCAAUGGUUUGGAGAUAUUCAAGCUCAGCAGGAGUGGCAACCUUGAUUAUGUGCUUGGUCAUAUUGAUAUGGGCAACAAAAGGGGGCGUUCCAAGGGUCGGAGCAGGAUAGGUUUAUGGGAAGAAGUUGGUAUUGGCUCGGCCGCUUUUGUGGCACUGGCAAGUGUUGCUCUGUUCUCAUGGUGCUAUGUAAGGAGGAAACGAAAAGCUGUUAACGAGGAGGUCCCUGCUGGUUGGCACCCUCUGGUCCUCCAUGAGGCUAUGAAAAGCACUACAGAUGCCCGCGCAUCCAAGAAAGCACCCUUGGCACGCAAUUCAUCUUCCAUUGGUCAUAGGAUGGGCAGACGAUUCAGCAUUGCAGAUAUUAGAGCUGCCACAAAAAACUUUGACGAGUCAUUGGUCAUUGGUUCUGGAGGUUUUGGCAAGGUUUACAAGGGUGAGGUCGAUGAUGGCAUUACAGUCGCAAUCAAGCGUGCAAAUCCAUUAUGUGGUCAGGGACUGAAAGAAUUUGAAACAGAGAUCGAGAUGCUCUCCAAGCUUAGGCACCGGCACCUUGUUGCGAUGAUUGGCUAUUGUGAAGAGCAGAAGGAGAUGAUUCUGGUCUAUGAAUACAUGGCCAAGGGGACAUUGCGAAGCCAUCUCUAUGGAAGUGGCCUACCACCUUUGACAUGGAAGCAACGGAUUGAUGCCUGCAUUGGUGCGGCCAGGGGCCUUCACUACCUCCACACGGGAGCAGAUCGGGGUAUAAUUCAUAGGGAUGUUAAGACUACUAACAUCCUGUUGGACAAGAACUUUGUUGCAAAAAUAGCAGAUUUUGGGUUGUCGAAAACUGGACCAACACUGGACCAGACCCAUGUUAGUACAGCAAUCAGGGGUAGCUUCGGGUAUCUUGAUCCAGAGUACUUCCGGAGGCAGCAAUUGACACAAAAAUCUGAUGUGUAUUCUUUUGGUGUGGUGCUCUUUGAAGUUGCUUGUGCCAGGCCGGUUAUAGACCCUUCAGUGCCGAAGGAUCAAAUCAACUUGGCAGAAUGGGCUAUGAGAUGGCAGCGUCAGCGUUCACUGGAAGCAAUAGCGGAUCCACGGCUGGAUGGUGACUACUCGCCAGAAUCCUUGAAGAAGUUUGGUGAUAUCGCGGAGAAGUGUCUUGCUGAUGAUGGGAGAACCAGGCCAUCAAUGGGUGAGGUCUUGUGGCACCUGGAGUAUGUGCUGCAGCUCCAUGAAGCUUACAAACGCAAUGUGGAUUGCGAGUCAUUUGGAAGCAGUGAACUGGGGUUUGCUGAUAUGUCUUUUAGCAUGCCUCACAUCAGAGAGGGAGAAGAGGAGCAUCACCCAAAGAAAUCAGGUAUCAGAGAAGAUUCAGCCCCUUGA